GUAAGUGUGUGUGCACCUGUGCCACACUCACACUAUCUCUGAGGGCUGGCGGGGGCCGGGCAGGGGGUAGGGGAUGAAUAACCAGGUUAAGCAUCUUUCAUGGGGUGACAGGAGGGCUCGAGGGCUUGCCCUGUCUUCUAAAAAGUAGGCGACUCUCCGGAAAUGCAAAGGCCCAAGGUUGACUGGAGUUUGACAGAGGGAACCAUCGAUAGGAAAGACUGUAUUCUUUCUCCUCUGCGCCUUGUCACCCAUCCAACCGCAUCUCUAACGGGUCUGAGGACUUGUCAGGAAGCAGCGCAGGCCUUCACUCAUUGUUGACACAGGGCCAUCACCACGCUUCUUCACUUCCCUUAUUGGUGAAGCUCCUAUCCAGAAGGAGCACUUCCGUUCAACAAGUAUUUACUGAGCAGCUAUGAAACUUGCUGGGGGAGUGAUGAGGGAUGGGCCCUGUGGUGCAGAAGGAGUUCCUUCAAGGGCCUCUCCCUCCAGGGAGGUUACUAAUGAGAGGCACUGUGGGGGCCCGGUGGCUGCUUUCACUUGUUUCACAGAGUGGGCUUCCAAGUAAGCUUUCCUCUGAAGAGCUGGGCCACAGCUUAAGUUGUUUGAAACUCCUCUGUGGUCUGUUAUGGAAUAUCCAUGCCAUAGAAUGCCCCACCGCCUUGCAAAGCGGGAAGUGGAUCUGGGCCCACUGAUGCACCAUAGUCUCAGAGACAAAUUGUUCAAUGAAGAAAGGAAGUCUCAGAGCAAUCUAUACAACAGCAGGCCAUUUAUGCAAAUAAGCAGGUGUGGGGAUAUGUGUAUUAAUCAACUCUCUAUAAACUGA
rnacentral:lncRNA from 1 species